UAGGGAAUCUUCCGCAAUGGGCGAAAGCCUGACGGAGCAACGCCGCGUGAGUGAAGAAGGUCUUCGGAUCGUAAAACUCUGUUAUUAGGGAAGAACAAAUGUGUAAGUAACUAUGCACGUCUUGACGGUACCUAAUCAGAAAGCCACGGCUAACUACGUGCCAGCAGCCGCGGUAAUACGUAGGUGGCAAGCGUUAUCCGGAAUUAUUGGGCGUAAAGCGCGCGUAGGCGGUUUUUUAAGUCUGAUGUGAAAGCCCACGGCUCAACCGUGGAGGGUCAUUGGAAACUGGAAAACUUGAGUGCAGAAGAGGAAAGUGGAAUUCCAUGUGUAGCGGUGAAAUGCGCAGAGAUAUGGAGGAACACCAGUGGCGAAGGCGACUUUCUGGUCUGUAACUAACGCUGAUGUGCGAAAGCGUGGGGAUCAAACA
rnacentral:rRNA from 1 species